CCAACUCUCACAUCCAUACAUGACUACUGGAAAAACCAUAUCUUUGACUAUUGUGCAAUAAAAAGUAAUGUCUCUGCUUUUUAAUAUGCUCUCUAGGUUUGUCAUAGCUUUUCUUCCAAGAAGAAUGCGUCUUUUGUUUACGACACCCCUAGUAAAAUAACCCAUCGUCCAUUCUUAAAUUCUGAAACUGAUCCUUUCUGAUAGUUUUGAGUGACAACACCUGCCAGAAGCGGGUGCAUCAGGCCCUGGUUUAAAGGGAUUGCUGCUCUUCCGGCAUCUUGAACUGAGGGGCAUUCCCGCUGUCAGAGCCCAUCAGGAAGCAACCCCUUCUCUGCGGCUGUACAUGCCCCUGCAUGUGGGUUCCCACCCUGAGGCACAGAGCAGGCGCCUUGCUGUUACGUGGACCGUGCACAAUUUAACGCACACUGGCAGACUUGGAAAUUGACAUUUGCCCAUAAUUGCUGUGACCUGGCACCCGCAUUGCUAGCGAAUGACAGUGCUGAGCUUUAUCAGAAUCGGAUGCGCCACAGAAUGAGAUUACAGAACUCAAUAUGCUGUUUGCUGUGAUUUCAUGAAACUCAGCCCAGACACAUGUGGCCAAAUCAAUUGGAUUCAUUCAUGAGAUUUGGGGGCCCUUUUAAAACCCAGCCAGAAUCUAAUUUCUCCAUCUGAAAUUCAAUAAGAUCUUAAUUCUUGUGAACAGUUCUCUCAGCAAAGAGACUUGGGGUUGGGGAGGAAAAAGAGUAAAAGAAAAAAUGUAACAUUUCUCUGAUGUUCUCUGUGGUUGUCUGAGAGUCCGAGCAAGUUUAACGAGCUUUGAUCUGAGUUUCAACCAAUUGGAUUCCUUCCAUUAUCUAAAUGGAAUCGGCUUCUCGCUGUGCCUCUGAUACUGUUUAAAAUAAGGAUGUGUUACUCCCCUCUGGUAGCUAGGUUGGAGACACUCCUGGAGACGUCACAGCAGAGGUUAAGGCAAGAACCACCUCCAGGGACUGUGGCCCACCCCUCUGUGUGUCUGGACUGGACAUCUCCUGGGAGAAUCUAUUCAACUGAAGCAACUUCUGAGCAAAGGAAUAGGUGGCCCUGAUACCACCUUACCUGCCCAGUCUCUUGAAUUGAUGAAGGUCUGUUACCCUGGAUGUGUCAUGGGGUAAGAAGCUAGUCGAAGUGGGGUGGCUUCUUGUUUUUAUAAAUAACUUGUUGGUUUUUAUUUUUGGUUGCACUGGGUCUUCACUGCUGUGUGUGGGCUUUUCUCCAGUCUGUGGCGAGAAAGGGCUACUCUCUGGUGAGGCACACAAGCUUCUCUUUGCAGUGGCUUCCUCAGUUGCGGAGCACAGGCUCUAGGUCGUAGGCUCAGUAGUUGUGGCUUGCAGGCUCUAGAGCACAGGCUUAGUAGUUCCGGUGCAUGGACUGACUUGCCCUGAGGCUCGUGGAAUCUUGCUGGUGGUUGUUGUUCAUUAGUCAUUAAGUCAAGUCUGACUCACUGUGACUCCAUAGAUUGUAGCCCACCAGGCUCCUCUGUCCAUGGGAUUUCCCAGGCAAGAAUACUGGAGUGGGAUGCUAUUUCCUCCUCCAGGGAAUCUUCCUAACCCAGGGAUCAAACCUGCAUCUUCUUCAUUGGCAGGUAGAGUCAUACCCACUGUACCACCGGGGAAGUCUGGCUUUUUUCUUUUUAAGAUUGAUUUUCAAUGGGUGUGCAGGAAGAACUGAAUGCAUGAGAUUGGAGACUAUUUUGCACACGGUGGAUAUUUCCAGGAUAAAAGAAAAUGCCUACAGGAGGAGCAGAUGCUCUCGGUUAAGUAGGUCUGGCCAUGGCAGCGUGAAGCUUGGGGAGCAUAACUCUUCCUCCAUUUCCACCUUUCUCUGUCUCUCGGCUGGGCUCCACGUUGGUAAAUUUAUUACUUAUUUUAUCAUCUGAUGCUGGAGCGUGGAUGAGUAAGAUCAACCCCUGUAUCCUAACAGAUUUAGAACAGAGGGUGUGGAUGAGGAGAGAGUAAAUCACUGGUUCUCAACACUGUCUGUGCUUUUGAAUCACCUGGAGAGCAUUUAAAACCACCUUUCCCAGCUGGAGCUCCAGAUAUUUUGAUUGCAGAGGGCCGGCUGGGACUCAGGCAAUGGUAGCUUUGAAAAGCUCCCCAGGCUACUUGUGUGCAGCCUGAGUUGCAGAACCAUGAAGCAGUUCCUCACCUCAAGCGAUGAAGUAACAACCCAGAGAAAGACUGGCUCUCCACCCCCAGGUGCAGCCCCAGCCAGUCGGCCCUCAGUGAUGGAGAAGCUUCAAGAAAUGAAGGGACGCAGCCCAGCUGAGCGAGACCCUAAGGCCGCCCAGGGGAGGGUCCCUUAGUCCAUUCCUGGUACCACUGGAAUCAGGAAGUCUGGAAAGACUGCCUAAAAGGGCAGGGGUUGGGGUGUAGAGGGAAGUGUGAAACUGGUUAUGCCAGAAAAGAGAGGCCCAAGGGUUUCUGCCAAAAAACAGGAAGAUGGAGGCGGAUGUUACAGAGUUUGAACCUGAAGCCAGAAAUUUGUGCAGCAGCAAGAGGGUGCCAUGCUGUGGACCUUCCCUCACGUCCCAGCAUCCCUGGUACAUGAAGGGCAGGUCACAGUCUCAAAGGGAGACCUCUGCUGUGACAACAUGGAGCUUUGUUCCCAAGAGGAAGUCGUGCUUGCAGAGGAGCCCUCAUUCACGUGACAGUCUUAGAGUCAGUUCCUCCACCGCUGCUUCUCUCUGCUCACCAUCUCCUUUAAGCGUUGCACGGAAGGCCACAAAGUGCGCAUGCGCUCUCCAGGCUCCCCACCUACGAUCCCCCAGCCCCAAUCCAGCCUGGACGGAACUGUAGUGGAGGCAUCUCUCUACGCUGCUGCGGCACUCUGCCCUGACGUCCGCACCUCUCAUGCCCAGGGAACCCUCUCCACUGCCUGCUCAGCAAGCCUCCUUUCUGUAUCAGGCCAUCUCUGACUCACUUCAUUUGUUGACCGCCCCACGCGCAUUCAGGAUUUCAGUUCCCCAACCAGGGGUGGAAACGGCGCCCCCUGCAUUGGGGAGCUUGGAGUCUUGACCACUGAGCCGCCAGGGAAGUCCGAAACUCUGACUCAUUUUAAAUUGUUAUUUACAUCAUCUGCAUUUACCAAUAACAACAAAGGGGAAUUGUUUGGGUGUGGAAAAACCUCAGGGAAUAGACGCUUCGGGCUGUUUGGAGAACUAUGGCCCAUGUUUGGGAAGAAUGAAGUGUGGGACAUGAAGUACAGAAAGUGAAACGGGCGUGGAAAGGAAGCAUGAGAGUAACUCCUGCAGCAUUCAGUUCAGUUCAGUCGCUCAGUCGUGUCUGACUCUUUGCGACCUCAUGGAUUGCAGCACGCCAGGCCUCCCUGUCCAUCACCAACUCCCGGAGUUCACUCAAAAAAAUACGGAACGCUUCACGAAUUUACGUGUCAUCCUUGCGUAGGGGCCGUGCUAAUCUCUGUAUCGUUCCAUUAGGUCCCGACAACGCUCUGGCUUGAGAAAGGAAAUGACUCAUUUGGAUUUGCCUACCUGGUAGCACACGUCACAUGAGAAACACUGAUAACUUGCUGUGUAUGGGACCAUCUGAUUCUCAUUCUGGCCUAGCCUCCCCCAAGGGAACCCUGCCCCGACAUCCUGUCACCACCGCCCCCGCCCCACCCUCACAUCCCCCCCACCCAACCCCAAACAGGCUACAAAACACAGCAAUAGACCUAAAUGAGGUAGAGUCUCUCUUAUCAGGACUUCCGUGGUGGCUCAGACGGUAAAGAAUCUGCCUGCAAUGUGGGAAACUUGGGCUCGAUCCCUGGGAUGGGAAGAUCCCCUGGAGGAGAGCAUGGCAACCCACUCCAGUAUUCUUGCCCAGAGAAUCCCCACGGACAAAGAAGCAUGGUGAGCUACCCAUGGGGUCGCAAAGAGUCAGACAUGACUAAGCGACUAAGCACAGCACAACACAGCCUUCUUAUCAGAGUAAAGUUUGUAUCAAAAAACCUUCAAGAUUUCCAUGGUCAGGAUACAACCCUGAGAUGGAUUAAAAUCAAAUCCUGAUUCCCCUCCCAGCACCCAAACCCUGAAUCAUGUUCUUAUGUCCUAAUCUUGCUCUAAGGGUUUUCAAAGCACACAGCUAAAUUGCUCAGAUCCAUUUAUGUUGAAAGGGACAUGGGCUCUGCCCUAGGACAACAAAUAACUGACUUUGCUUCUUAAAGUCCCAGUGUGCUCCAGCCAUUGAGAAUAUUGUCAGUGGCGGGGUGAGUGAGCCUAAUGGACUAGAGGAAAUAGUAAUGAUGACAUCUGCUGCAACUGACUCUGUGCCAGGUACUUCAUAUACAUGGUCUCUCAUGUGUCCAGUGGCCCUGUAAAAAUGAUGUGUCCAUCUCAAUUUUGCAGAUAGAAAACAGAGUCAAAUAAGACAAGCAACUUGUUCAAAGUCACACAGUAAGUUACAAGGUUAAGUUCCUGUUAUAGGGUGAGUUCUCCAUAAGCAGAGAGUAAGAAGAAUGAUGGAUGUGAAAGUACUUUAUUAGGAGAAAUUCCUAGGAAAACUGGUAGUGGAGUAGAGAAGUGGGACCAGAAAAGAAACUAGGCCAAGUAAAGACCCAAUGUCAGGGAAAGUCUCAAAAGUAAGCUCUAAAGACAAAAUUGGUUGCAGAGUUGAUCCAAUCAGGAAAAGAGAUCUGGGGUAUUUAUACCCCUGAACCAGUUGGUUCUAGGCUAAGGACUGCCCCCACACCCCCCUCACCGUGAAGAUGUAAAUUCUCAGAUAGUUCCCUGCUCUGCUUGCUGGUUCAAGUGUGCUUGAAGUUCAAGUGGUUCAAGAUAUUGCUUCAUCAGUGUGAGGGAAAGUGCAAAGAAUCAGGGGCUGGCUUCUGGGAAGAAAGCAGGCUGAGAGCCAGGUGCUCGCAAAUGGUGGGGGCCUUGUCUUCUCUGCUGGGACAUACCCCUGUCCCAGACACAGUUCUGGAGCCAUAGACCUUCUGCAUCCAGGGACCACCUUGUCAGACCUUGACUGCAGCACUGUUGGGGUCCAGGCAAUGCUACACAGUCAUAAAAAACCUCAGUUUUAAACCUUUGCUUCUAGCAAAGAUAAAGUGAGAGACUGGAAAGAUGUCUUCAUUUAACUUUAAUGUCUCAGACCCAGCUUGUCUCUAAUGCACUAUAAAUUAAUGUUUUCUUUAUUUCCUAUGAUUAUCUUUUAAUUAGCAAAUUUAUAUUGUGUGACACUUUCUUCUG